rnacentral:tRNA from 1 species
GCACCAGUAGAGUAGUAGUUAACUCAUUUCCCUCCCAUUACACAAUGUGGCAAGCAAGGAAGGAAAGGACCCGGGUGCAAAUCCCGGCUGGUGCA